rnacentral:misc_RNA from 1 species
GAUGAAGAACGCAGCGAAAUGCGAUAAGUAGUGUGAAUUGCAGAAUUCAGUGAAUCAUCGAAUCUUUGAACGCACAUUGCGCCCCUUGGUAUUCCAUGGGGCAUGCCUGUUCGAGCGUCAUUUGUACCUUCAAGCUUUGCCUGGUGUUGGGUGUUUGUCUCGCCUUUGCGUGUAGACUCGCCUUAAAAUAAUUGGCAGCCGGCGUAUUGAUUUCGGAGCGCAGUACAUCUCGCGCUUUGCACUCAUAACGACAGCGUCCAAAAGUACAUUUUACACUCUUGACCUCGGAUCAGGUAGGGAUACCCGCUGAACUUAAGCAUAUCAAUAAGCGGAGGA